UUUGUUACUUCAAACCAAUCGGACUUCGGUCUGACAUCAAGUGAUAUUGAACAAUUUAGCUGAUCGCACGGUCUAAGAACCGGCGACAUACCCUUCAAUUGUCUGCCUUAUCAACUUUCGAUGGUAGAUUAUGCGCCUACCAUGGUUGUAACGGGUAACGGAGAAUCAGGGUUUGAUUCCGGAGAGGGAGCCUGAGAAACGGCUACCACAUCCAAGGAAGGCAGCAGGCACGCAAAUUACCCACUCCCGGCACGGGGAGGUAGUGACGAAAAAUAACAAGCUGGUCUCAAUGAGUUCCAGCAUUGUAAUGGGAACAAUUUAAAUCUUUUAUCGAGGAUCUAUUGGAGGGCAAGUCUGGUGCCAGCAGCCGCGGUAAUUCCAGCUCCAAUAGCGUAUAUUAAAGUUGUUGCGGUUAAAAAGCUCGUAGUUGGAUCUAGGAUUAGGGCUACGGUCGUUCAGCUUGGACGUACUGUAUGCCCGACUCCUUUUCUCUAGUAUUCGAUUGUUGCUCUUAAAUGAGUGACUUUAGUUGCUGGAACUUUUACCUUGAAAAAAUUGAAGUGCUCAAAGCAGGUU
rnacentral:rRNA from 1 species